GCAGAUAUAAUCCUAAUUGGCAAGGAAGCUGUUUGCUAAACAGUCAGUAGCCGGAAACGGCGUUCGGGUUCAAAUCCCGAUAUCUGCG
rnacentral:tRNA from 1 species